CAGAGCAUAGCUAAACUAGCAUAGCGUCUCCCUUACACUGAGAAGACAUCCGUGCAAAUCGGAUUGCCCUGA
rnacentral:tRNA from 1 species